GUCGGAGUGGCGAAAUUGGCAGACGCGCAGGUCUCAGAAGCCUGAGGUAGAAAUACUGUAUCGGUUCAAAUCCGAUCUCCGGCACCA
rnacentral:tRNA from 1 species